rnacentral:rRNA from 1 species
AGCGGCCGCGGUAAUUCCAGCUCCAAUAGCGUAUAUUAGUGUUGUUGCGGUUAAAAAGCUCGUAGUUGAAUUUCGGGAUUGGGAUAUAUCGGUCAUGGCUUUAGGGACAUGAAUCGGUGUGUGGUCAAUUCUCUCACCUUCUGGUGAAUCGGGAUGCUCUUGGGUGUUUCGAUGAACUAGGACCUUUACUUUGAAAAAAUUAGAGUGUUUAAAGCGGGCAUUUUUGCUUGAAUACAUUAGCAUGGAAUAAUAAAAUAGGACGAUGGUUCUAUUUUGUUGGUUUUAGGACCACGUAAUGAUUAAUAGGGAUAGUUGGGGGCAUUAGUAUUCAAUUGUCAGAGGUGAAAUUCUUGGAUUAAUUGAGGACUAACUACUGCGAAAGCAUUUGCCAAGGAUGUUUUCAUUAAUCAAGAACGAAAGUUAGGGGAUCGAAGACGAUUUAUGUACGUCGUAGUCUUAACCAUAAACUAUGCCGACUAGGAAUCAGACAAAGUUCAUUUUUUGAUGACUUGUUUGGUACCUUACG